rnacentral:rRNA from 1 species
UACGAAGGGGGCUAGCGUUACUCGGAUUUACUGGGCGUAAAGGGCGCGUAGGCGGUUUGUACAGUCAGACGUGAAAUUCCUGGGCUCAACCUGGGGGCUGCGUUUGAUACGUGCGGACUUGAGUUCGGAAGAGGGUCGUGGAAUUCCCAGUGUAGAGGUGAAAUUCGUAGAUAUUGGGAAGAACACCGGUGGCGAAGGCGGCGACCUGGUCCGAUACUGACGCUGAGACGCGAAAGCGUGGGGAGCGAACAGG